rnacentral:tRNA from 1 species
GAGGGUAUAGCUCAGUGGCAGAGUGUGUGCUUAGCAUGCGCAAGGUCCUGGGUUCAAUCCCCAGUACCACCA